rnacentral:lncRNA from 1 species
GCUACAUUACAAGUAACUAGAACAGUGCCUGUGAUAGUGGCUUACUGUUGUUGAAUGAAUGAAUGGAGAGAUGAAUCAAGGUCUGCUGCAAUUGGUGGACAAUUGGAGGAGCACCAAAGGAAGACUGGACAGGGCAAAAGUAUGUACCUACAGCAUAUUCACUCUCAAGUGAGUACCUACGACAUGGGCAGUUGAGUCCUGACUGUAUGAUGUUCUGGCCUUGGGCUGUCUUUUCUGCUUACAGUUGAAGACAGUUGUGUUUUGAUUUCAGAAUUCAUCAUACUUAAAAUAAGAAGUCAUACUGACUCUAAGAAGAUAGUGGAAAACUGAAAUUCUAUCUUCACUGGAAUAUUUUGAAUAUGUUUCUCAGUGAAGAGAUGAGAAAACUGAAGAACAAAGAGUUUAAGUAACUUGUCCACUUGCCACGCCUAGUAAUUGGGAUUGACCUAGACAGUGUGACUCAAGAGUUUGUCCUCUUAAUCAAUGCACUCCUAUGCCUCAAGUUACACUCUUCUGCCUGAUAUCCAGAUAGGACCUGUGUUGGAGCCUUAUCAGUAUGGACCCAGGGUGAGUCACACUUGCAGGGACUGCCAAUGAUAGAAUUCUGUAUGCUAGGUUUUCCCACCUCCAAAAAGUCCACAUGAUUCGACAUUGACAUAAACAAUUACUGGUAUUUUGGUUUGCAUCAAAUUAGUUACUUUGUCAUCACUCAAAUUUGGAGAUUGAAGACAUGGUCCCUGCUUAUAUGUUUAGCUUAAGUAAAGUGUG